rnacentral:rRNA from 1 species
AUGCAAGUCGAGGGGUAACAGGGUAGCAAUACUGCUGACGACCGGCGCACGGGUGAGUAACACGUAUGCAACCUACCUAUAACUGGGGAAUAGCCUUCCGAAAGGAAGAUUAACACCGCAUAACAUCACGAAACGGCAUCGUUUUGUGAUCAAACCUCCGGGGGUUAUAGAUGGGCAUGCGUAACAUUAGCUAGUUGGUGAGGUAACGGCUCACCAAGGCGACGAUGUUUAGGGGGUCUGAGAGGAUGAUCCCCCACACUGGUACUGAGACACGGACCAGACUCCUACGGGAGGCAGCAGUAAGGAAUAUUGGACAAUGGGGGCAACCCUGAUCCAGCCAUGCCGCGUGAAGGAUGAUGGCGCUCUGCGUCGUAAACUUCUUUUAUCCGGGAAAAAUUGUUGGGUUUCUACCUGACUUGAUUGUACCGGAGGAAUAAGGACCGGCUAACUUCGUGCCAGCAGCCGCGGUAAUACGAAGGGUCCAAGCGUUAUCCGGAUUUAUUGGGUUUAAAGGGUGCGUAGGCGGGUUGUUAAGUCAGUGGUGAAAUCUUGCAGCUUAACUGUAAAAUUGCCAUUGAUACUGACGAUCUUGAGUACACUUGAAGUGGGCGGAAUAUGUCAUGUAGAGGUGAAAUUCUUAGAGAUGACAUAGAACACCGAUUGCGAAGGCAGCUCACUAAAUUGUAACUGACGCUGAGGCACGAAAGCGUGGGGAUCAAACAGGAUUAGAUACCCUGGUAG